rnacentral:ncRNA from 1 species
GCGCUUGCUCACUCCACGAUAUGAGCGGCGUACAUCCUAAAGGAGGUACUGUCAACCCGUAAGGCUUGCGGUGCGGCAGCGUGGAGACCUGUCGUAAUGCGGAGUGUUCCUGAUAUAAAUGAAAAUAUGAUAUCAUUUAUAUAUGCGUAUGCCCGUGAGGCGAUUUUGCGGAGGCAUUUUCGUCAGAGCCGAUUUUAUG